rnacentral:rRNA from 1 species
AUUGAACGCUGGCGGCAUGCCCUACACAUGCAAGUCGAACGGCAGCACGGGGCAACCUGGUGGCGAGUGGCGAACGGGUGAGUAAUGCAUCGGAACGUACCUUUCAGUGGGGGAUAACGUAGCGAAAGUUACGCUAAUACCGCAUAUUCUGUGAGCAAGAAAGCAGGGGAUCGCAAGACCUUGCGCUGAUUGAGCGGCCGAGGUCAGAUUAGCUAGUUGGUGAGGUAAAGGCUCACCAAGGCGACGAUCUGUAGCGGGUCUGAGAGGAUGAUCCGCCACACUGGAACUGAGACACGGUCCAGACUCCUACGGGAGGCAGCAGUGGGGAAUUUUGGACAAUGGGGGCAACCCUGAUCCAGCCAUGCCGCGUGAGUGAAGAAGGCCUUCGGGUUGUAAAGCUCUUUCGGCCGGGAAGAAAUCGCACGGGCUAAUACCCUGUGUGGAUGACGGUACCGGAAUAAGAAGCACCGGCUAACUACGUGCCAGCAGCCGCGGUAAUAC